rnacentral:lncRNA from 1 species
UUACAUAUAUAGUGUUUCUAUUUUACAUAUAUGAUUCUUCAACUUAGCAAUUCCUUAUUUUAAUAUUAGAAGUCUAUAGCAUAGAAAAAAAUAGACAUCAUAUGAAGAGAUCGUAGAAAGUAUUAUAAGUUUUAUUAUCAGCAAUGAGGGUCCAUUACGAUAUAAUUUUCCUUUUUUGUGUGAGUAGGAAAGAUAUCGAUGAA